rnacentral:rRNA from 1 species
UACGGGGGGGGCAAGCGUUGUUCGGAAUUACUGGGCGUAAAGGGCUCGUAGGCGGCCAACUAAGUCAGACGUGAAAUCCCUCAGCUUAACUGGGGAACUGCGUGUGAUACUGGAUGGCUUGGAUUUGGGAGAGGGAUGCGGAAUUCCAGGUGUAGCGGUGAAAUGCGUAGAUAUCUGGAGGAACACCGGUGGCGAUGGCGGCAUCCUGGACCAAUAUUGACGCUGAGGAGCGAAAGCUAGGGGAGCAAACGGG